UACAGAGGUCUCAAGCGUUGUUCGGAUUCAUUGGGCGUAAAGGGUGCGUAGGUGGCGCCGUAAGUCGGGUGUGAAAUUUCGGAGCUUAACUCCGAAACUGCAUUCGAUACUGCGGUGCUUGAGGACUGGAGAGGAGACUGGAAUUCAUGGUGUAGCAGUGAAAUGCGUAGAGAUCAUGAGGAAGACCAGUGGCGAAGGCGGGUCUCUGGACAGUUCCUGACACUGAGGCACGAAGGCCAGGGGAGCAAAGCGGG
rnacentral:rRNA from 1 species